rnacentral:lncRNA from 1 species
CCUCACGCGAGCUCGAGGCCUCGCGAGGCUUCAGGUCGACCCCUGCCUCUGAGCCCGAGAUGGGCCUCCGGGCGCAGCUGCCGGCACUUAACACAGAGCAGUCGAUAAGCUGCUCGCGUGAACGGUCUCUACCCGACAAAGCAGCGGACGGGAGCCCUCGUCGUCGGGCUGCGUCUGGAAGGACCACGGUGACGGAAGCGUGGAGAGCUCCGGAGCUCUGCCUUCUGGCGUCUGCCCCAAGUAUCGGUACUGAAUGUCAUACAUGGCGUGCAAGUGAUGGCAUAGUAAUGAUCUUGCGCUUAGUUUUCCUUUCUGUUGAUGGUGGGAGAAACAGAACAGAGGAAUUUAGCCUGCUAGACGUGACGCUGGACACUGAACAGAAAAUAGCAUGCAGAGCAGUUUGGGUGAAUCAAGGUAGGUGUGAAUGGAAAAUGGAGAGGAAGUUCUGACUUUGAGGCAGUUCAUGCUUGAUGUCAUCAGUGACUGCUUACCUUGAAAAUGAAAAUGUUUUUAAUUUGUGUUGUGGACUUCACGUGUUAAUUUUUAGGGUGAAGAAAAAACUUAACCCACAAAGGUGUGUCUUCUAGUAAUGGCAGUAGUUAACCUGUCAGUUGAAAGAAUGUAACCUUCCAUUUCUCCUUUUCAUGACAUAAAGAUAAUCUCAUCUGAGGGCAUUUAUGUGAAGAAAUAACAGCAUGGCAUGGUGAAACUACUGGCUCAUUAAUCCUGGCAUCUACUUCCUACAGGGUUCCUUGAUUAGUUAGAUUCAUUCAUCGGGCAUUUCAGAGUUUUUGAUUUGUCACCAUUGGCUAGGUUCACUGAGUUCAGACUAAAUUGAGCCAGAAGCAAUGUUUAUUAGUAAUUUUGUAGUACAGGCUACCCUAAUAAUUCAACCCAAAUAUCUCAUCUGAAAAAAUAUCCAUUCACCCUCUCUUCUAAUGUGGGUUGCAGCUGUGUUCGUAGGGAAUUGAAAGAACACAAGUGAUUGG